UACGUAGGGUGCAAGCGUUGUCCGGAAUUAUUGGGCGUAAAGCGCUCGCAGGUGGUUCGUUGCGUCGUGCGUGAAAGACCCCGGCUCAACUGGGGAGCGUCGUGCGAUACGGGCGGACUGGAGGCCAGUAGGGGGAUGCGGAAUUCCGGGUGUAGUGGUGGAAUGCGUAGAGAUCCGGAGGAACACCAGCGGCGAAGGCGGCAUCCUGGACUGGUCCUGACACUCAGGAGCGAAAGCGUGGGGAGCGAGUCCGG
rnacentral:rRNA from 1 species